rnacentral:rRNA from 1 species
UACGUAGGGUGCAAGCGUUUGUCCGGAAUUAUUGGGCGUAAAGAGCUCGUAGGCGCUUGUCGCGUCGGCUGUGAAAACCUGGGGCUCAACCCCGGGCCUGCAGCCGAUACGGGCAAGCUAGAAUUCGGUAGGGGAGACUGGAAUUCCAGGUGUAGCGGUGAAAAUGCGUAGAUAUCUGGAGGAACACCGGUGGCGAAGGCGCAUCCUGGACCGACGACUGACGCUGACGGAGCGAAAGCCAGGGGA